CCUGGGGCCAAAGUCUCUGUCUUGGGAACUAAACCCGGGGCCACAGUCUCUGUCUCGGGAACUUUUACUGUGCCCAUCCUGGUGAAGGGAGAGCUUGAAGAUGUCGCCUCCUCCCGAGGACUAUUUUUCUGGUUUUCUCAAUGUGCCCCUAGCUCCAACCUAAGCCUGGACAGUCAGAUUACCCGCCUGAACAGGCAGAGGGAAAGGCCUGGCGAUGCUGAAAGAACCAGAAAAACUGCCCUGAGCAGAAGGAAUCUGAAUGUUUGUCUUCCUAAGAGUCAUCAAAGACCAGUGGCAAGACAAAAGUCAAGAUGACUGGCGAUGGCCAAGAUACAGUGGAUGACCUUGGCAUCUCUGAUGUCUAACCAAAUUCUAAGUGCUCUGCAGCACUUACUUCGGCUGCCUUCAUGGACAUUGGAACAAAUUACUAUCUGCCCAUUCCACUGGGGGAGUCUUCACUUGCUUGGGAUAGACAUCCCCCUAACUCACCAAUGGAUUUGAGACCUGUCAGUCACCCUCUACGUGGUUUAGCCCAUCUGUCAUGACGAUUUUACUGGGGUGUGGCUGCUGCACAUGCUCCAGCUCUUGGAGCCACAGGUAAAAGUUAGAUGAAGGUGGACACCGAAGGUGGAUAAGCAACCCUGAAAAGGCUCGGCAGCCUUCAUCCCAGAGGUGCUUGUCCUCCCUGAAUAUCCCAUACAACCCUAUGUAUAUAUACAUGACUAUGUAUGACAUAUGUGUAUGUACAUAUACAUGUGCAUUUUAUGUACAGCACUUUGGUAAGUUAAAAGUGCCAUGUAAAUGUUAGUUACCAUCAUUAUUUUGACACGUGAGGAAACUCAAGCUAAGAGAGGUUAAGUGACAUGGUCAUGAGGCAGUAAAUGGCAGAGCUAAGACUCAAACCCCAGUCCUCUAGUUCUAAAUUCAACAAUCACCAUGUUAGGCCUAGAGAACUUCUAGUUGCCUGAUAUCAUAGGAAUGUCCAGUGUGCUCCAGUUUUGUCCUUGGCUUAGUCCACAAAAUGAUCCAGACCAUAUCAAGAUUUUCUUUGACUUCUCUGGAUAGUCGUCCUAACAAUCCAGUUAUUCUACAUGCAUUUAUGUGUAUGGGGAUGACUGUAGAAAUAGUCUUAAAAUAGCAAAUGGACAACAUGAUAACAUUAAGACUCUUAAGUUCAAUGAAUGAACCUUAGACUAUAUCUACUACACAUUAUAGGUAAAAAUGAUCCAGA